AAGGCCUUGUAGCUCAUUUUUCUCAGAAAAGGGGAUAUUCUCAAUCAUCUCCAAAAAGGAAAGAUCCAGCGACAAAAAAAUUAAAAAAAAAAGAAGGGCAAGGACUCCAUAUUUUCCCCCUUUUUUCCUUCUUCUGGACGAUAUAUGCUCACAGAGGUCCCAAUUCUCUGAGGGGAGUAGUCCACCGUCAUCUUCUUUUCUUCUUUCCUUUUUGGGACUCACCCUCACGACCACACACAGAUUUGAGAUUCAAUAUACACAGAAACACAAAAUUCCCACGAAAAAUGGACAUAUAACACACCUAGACGAGAUUUUGGGGGUUGGGGAUUCUUACUCCUAACGCGCACACAGAUACAAAAAAAUUGAAGAAGAGGAAAUGGAGAAACGAUAGAUAAAUCGAGAGAGGGAAUAGAAUAAUGAAAGUAAAGGAGCGAAGAAACGAUUGAAAGGGAGUCGGUGAAAUCGUGCACGGAUUUUUCUCAAUUUAUUUUCGCCUUCUCUACCUCGAUUGGUUCGAUCUUUUUGCGGGUUUAUUCGUCUGUUCGAAUCAGGGAGGAUUUCUUCGAAUUGGAUUUCUCUACACUGAUUUGGUGUGUUCGUCUUCGAGGUUUUUUAUUCGGGAUUUCGAGCUCGGAUUUCUUAAACACUAUUAUCAACGAAAAUCAAUAUGGGAAGGGGAGAGUUUGAUACGCGCGAAUGUAGGUAAACCCACACAUCAUGCGUUGCCUCCCACAAUUGGAGAGUCCACAUUCAAACUUGUUUUAUUUGUACAAGAAGUAAGUUGUGAGGCUUGGAUGCUUGUGAUUGAACCUCAAGAACUUGUGAUUUAGGCUCAACAACAGAUACAUGUUGCUCCACAUCACCCAUAACAAGAAUGUAUAUUAUAUUUGAUUUUUAUGACUCCUAUAUAACAGUUGAAAAAUCAUUUGUAAUGUAGUCAAUCUAUUUUUUUUAUUUUACGAGAAACACAAAAAAAUAAGACAAAUUAUAUUUAACAAUGAAGUUAUAACAUGUCUUUAAGUUGUACACUUGCGAAUUAAACAGUUUUUAUCUUUAUUAUUAUUUAUAAAA